GUGUUUUUCCCGUAUCCUAAAGAUAUAAGCCAUGCAAGUGUAAGCUUUGAAAUCACGUGUUUCAAGGCAGUGGACAGCUAAGGUACCGUUAAGAAUGUGCCGGACGAUGCGUUUUACACGGACAACUGCAGUAAUUCUGGAGCUGAUACGUGACGAAACUCCCGCAAUUGGGUGGGAGGGUUUAUGAAGUUUCAAUCCCGAUGGGUGCCUUGUGCAUUCGUGUGAUGAUUCAUUCGUACUGAUGAGAUCGCUAAUGCAGCAAUGCAGGCGACGCGUCCGAUCACUUUACGAGCUAUCAACUAGACGGUAGUAUAGAGCACUAUCGUGGUGGUGACGGCAACAGAGAACUGGGGUUCGGUUCUGUAGAGAGAGCUUUAGAGACGGCUCUCACAUCCAAGGAAGGCAGCAGGCGCGCAAAUUACCCAAUGAGGUUUCCUCGAGGUAGUACAGGACAUCGCGAUGACUGUGUCAUUGACACCGUCAAUCGUGCUGAGACUCAUUUAAACCCAGUACCGAACACAACAAGAGGGCAAGUCUGGUGCCAGCAGCCGCGGUAAUUCCAGCUCUUGUAGGGAACAACAAAAUUGCUGCAGUUAAAAAGCUCGUAGUCGGAUGUUUCGAGUGUACUGUGUGAUUUGCAUGAUGUGCCGGAAGGCGCGUUGUUUUGGCAAGUGACCCACUCGAUUGUUGAGGUGGACUCUCGUGUCAGUUAAUUCUGUCUUGCGGGAUGAUGGAAGCCUCUCUUGCACUGUGAAUAAAACGAAGCGCUCCAAGCAGUUUGGAAAGACUGAACGAUAAAGCAUGGGAUGCUGUCAGAAGAUCUUGGGAUGACGAGUUGUCGGUGAAUUGUGAUCCUAGAUAAUGAUUACAGGAGCAGUUGGGGCGAUUGGUAUUGCAGGGGUACCGGUGAAAUGGAGAUCCUUGCAAGACUGACGAAAGCGAAAGCAUUUCGCAAGGAUGUUUUCAAUGAUCAAGAACGAAAGUCAUGGGAUCGAAGAGGAUUAGAUACCCUCGUAGUCAUGACCGUAAACGAUCCUGACUAGGAAUCGGUGCGAUUGCAUAUGUCGUGCCGGCGCCUUAGGGAAACCAAAGUUAUUGAGGUCUGGGGGGAGUAUGGAUGCAAGUCUGAAACUUAAAGGAAUUGACGGAAGGGCACCACCAAGCGUGGAGCUUGCGGCUUAAUUUGACNCAACACGGGAAAACUUACGGGGAUAGGACAAUGGAAGGAUGGACAGGCUGAAGCCCUUUCCAGAUUCUUUGGUUGGUGGUGCAUGGCCGUUCUUGGUUCGUGAAUUGAUUUGUCUGGUUUAUUCCGUUAACGAACGAGACGACGUUUGGAUGAUGCGUU
rnacentral:rRNA from 1 species